AUUGUAAAAAUCAAUUACGAUUAAUAGUCUGAUAAUUUAGCUCGAUUAUCAUAUUCUGUACGAAACAUCAAUUUAUUGACGUUAUCGUCGAUAAACUUACUAUCGUGCAAUUGAUUCAUGCCUCUCAUUUUACUAAAAUGAAAUGAAAGAUCUUGAAAAUGUUCUAUGAUCGAUAAUUAUAACGUAUCAUAUC